AGCAGUGGUGAGUAUAGAAAAAUCUCUAAAAAUUCGACAUCCCGAUUCCCGUCCGUGGCCGAACCCUCGUCUUCCCGAACGGCUCGCGUGGAGCUCACCGACCGACGCCGAGUUCAAUCGCUAGAGGGCAUGAAGGCUGCCGGGGCCGACCGGCGAACUCGCCGCUGGCCCUACAUCACUAGAUGAGGUAGCACCUGUGCGAAUUGUGGCAGGAGGCCCCGAGGCCAGGUCCCGCCGCUUGUCCCGCACCUUUCAAAUGCGUGGGAACCGCGAUCAAGCACAGCGUCGUCACCAUCAGGUACGCGGCCAAGCUACCUAGGUGGCUAGGUAAGUGCCUCCGGGUAGUUUAUAGCGUAUGCGAGCCAACCAGACUUGCGAUGCUGACAAAUGAUGGUUUAGAAGUUGAUGCCCCGAUAGCGUUCUAGGAAAUGCUAUAAUAAUGAAACCUUGUGCCUGUUAGUAGAUUCGAAUCUCACUGUCUAUAUAUCAUAUAUGUUCUCAAUGUUGUUAAUUUUGUUGGGGCUGUGCGGAUGGAUACACAGUGGGGAUAAGGUAUUGGACUAUUUCCGUUGGCCGUUGCUGUUGCCAGCUGGCCUACUCUUCCAACCAGUUCCUAGACUUGUAUCUGAAUUCAUUCAGGGUGAUGUGCUCGUGGUUCCACUUCAAACCUCAAUGGGUUAAUGGGAUUAUUGGGGUGAGAUGUAUAUGAUUCAGGCUUUAUAAUAAAUUGUACUGGUGUCUAUAAUAUUAUUCAGAAUAGGUUGAAAAUUGCAAUUUGUCACUACCGCCUGCUCGAGUUAGACAACUGUGUUGCAUCCUUUUUCUGUAGGAAGGAAGAAUGAAUGCAUUUAAAUUGCAAAAUGUUGACAUCUUAUGCCUCACAAGAGGAGCAUGAUUACUUUCAAGUUUUAACAAAGCACAACUUUAUAAUCAGCAAACUAGUACAAGAGUUUUACAUCACUCUUUACUGUACAAGCAUUCAUUCAUAGGGGACCAUAAUUGCACAGCACACAUUAGCUAUGGGCAGACAGAGGGUUCCCUGGUUUCUAUAGCAUAACUGAUGAUUUGCUCACAGUCUAUAGCUAUUUACACAUAACACAAUUAUGUAUAUUCUCUAGCUUCUUUUAUUUCUUACUCAAGCAAUCAUAAACUUCUUAAUACAAUAACAUAUCAGCACAUUUCCUUCAAUAGCUAAGAUAUCUAGUUCAUGUAUGGUGGUUCUUCACAUCCUUCACUCCUGAAAACAAAGUAAAGCCGUACUCCAUAAGUUUAUCUGAACAGUGACCAUACUUGCAAUGUACUUAUAAUAGGAAUCAUUUAUGUUGCAUUUGGAUCUGAGUAGCACUGAAACACGGCACUCCUUUUAUUUUGUACUAGCUUUUGUAUAUACAUACCUGCUAGUUUUUUUUAAAAAAAAAACAGACGACUUGUCAAUUGUCUACUUACCUAUGAUAUUCAGAUUAUGUAUAUUUACAGCUGUCUCCUCAAGGAGUAUGAAUGGUCCUGCUCUGUUUUAACUCUCAAGUGAGCAUGUUGCCUUUUGCAGAAGACACAUAGAAGUGGAACAAAUUCUUUUUUACAGCUGGCUACUAUUUAUAGGCGCUUGACGAGGGUGAACUGCUGUACACGUUGCCGUCCUCCUUGCAGAAGGCUCAAAGCUUGAAAGGCUACAGAUUCUCAUGUUUUGAACUCAGGAUCCACUACAAGGGUUGUGAGUGCACGUGGGCUAGAUGGAAAUGGGAAUCUCAAUAUCUUCUGUUCUGCGUAUAUAGGUACUCCUGAGUUCCUUCGGCCUGAACGGGACACACGAGACCCGCAGAAGCAGAAUAUGUGCUAAAGCAUGGACUAUACCUGGACCAAUGAAUUAUUUCUCCGGUUGGCUGCCAGGACCUUGGAGAAGCCACAUGAUCAGACAGCCAGCUCUUGGACGUUACGGAAUCUUUCCACGGGUGACGUGGAGGCGUUUGGGUCAUCCACAGAUGCCGGGGUUGGACCAAAAGGAGCGAAAAAAAAUUCCUUACAUUAGGGAUGCAAAGAAUCUAUUUUACAGCUCGUCACAUCCACUAACUGGUGUCCAUAUAAAUAGAAGAAAAAUAAAUUACUAAAGGAUUAAGUUGUAAAUUUUGAUAUGUUUUUGUGGACCUUUAAAUGGUAGAUGUGACUAGGGCUGGAAAAAAAGCUCGAGUUCGACGAGCUGGCUCGACGCUCAGAACGAGCCCGAGUCGGGCCUGUUUUUGUGGCUCGUGAAAAGAGCGAUCCAGCUCGGCUCGGUGCAGCUCGCGAGCUGGCUCGUGGCUCGACCCAACAACAAUUUGUUACAUAAAAUUAUAAUUAGCAUAUAAUAUUAGUACCGAGUGG